rnacentral:rRNA from 1 species
GUGUCAGCCGCCGCGGUAAUACGUAGGGUGCGAGCGUUAAUCGGAAUUACUGGGCGUAAAGUGUGCGCAGGUGGCUGAGCAAGUCGAGUGUGAAAUCCCCGGGCUUAACUUGGGAAUUGCGCUCGAAACUACUUGGCUCGAGUGUGGCAGAGGAAGGUGGAAUUCCAGGUGUAGCGGUGAAAUGCGUAGAGAUCUGGAGGAACACCGAUGGCGAAGGCAGCCUUCUGGGCCAACACUGACGCUCAUGCACGAAAGCGUGGGGAGCAAACAGGAUUAGAUACCCUGGUAGUCCACGCCCUAAACGAUGAUGACUAGUUGUUGGGGGAGUUAAAUCCCUUAGUAACGCAGCUAACGCGUGAAGUCAUCCGCCUGGGGAGUACGGUCGCAAGAUUAAA